AUGGAGCCAACACAAAAGAAAGCUAGAAUAGAAAAUAUAAAUGAGUUGAAGCGCAACACAGCAAGCAAAGACUCAAUUGCAAUGGAGAACCCUGCAUAUAUUGCAACCGAACAGGAAGUUAGUACUUCUAACUUUCCUGUAAAACACAAAAAACAUGUGACGCCAGGAGAAAGACAAGCAUUGCUACACCGUCGUAACGAAGAAUUCAUGACAAGACGGCCGAAAACUGCUUCUGAAGACGCUUCCAUGACGGAAACCGGCAACAAUGACACAGAACCUCUACAGCAACCAGAAGUCAUGAUUUACGGUAAUACUCUAAAUUUUAUACAAUAG
rnacentral:rRNA from 1 species